CACCGUUUCUCCAGUUGGCCUAAAGACAAAGUUAAAGAGAUGUUCAAGGUCGACUCGACGGGUAUUUGAAUGAAACUGCACAGCUUAAUCUCGUGCAACGACAACAGUGUUAUGUAAUCAUCCUCUAGUUAUAAUUACAUAUACAGGAGAGUGAAUUUCAUCCACCCAGAGGGGCUUACCUGUAGGUGAUGUGGCAGGAGUGGUGGAUCCAGCUGAGCUUGUUGUGGCGCCCCCCGGAGGCGAUCUUGAGACCCACAUGGAAGUUAUGCUCAGCUUCAGGGGCAGGGGCAGGGUUCCGCCUGCAGAACCGAUUCCUUUGGACUUCUGCCACCCUCUGGUCACAAACGGAACAACACGUGUGAAACAGCAUGUAGAAUGUUUCCCAUGUAAUCCACCUGGUGGUAAAAUAUGGCACCUUUAACCAUAACUAUACUCUACAAUUUCCCAACUUUUCCUAGAGUGUGAAUUGAAAACACAUUAUUUUAAACCAAAUCGUAAUAACUUAUUUUAAACAUAAAAGUGCAAAAA